rnacentral:siRNA from 1 species
ACGGUUGCAAUGAUUCUGAU